GUAGCUCGGAUUGAUGCUAACAUCUCGUCGGAAGAGUUCUGGAUACUGCCUCAUGAAUUUCGUGGGACGCAUUUUAGCCCAUGAUGGAUUUUCAGGCAAGUUUGAUCCAAAUUCGACAGCGCUCACAGAAACAUCAGACUUUUCUGGUGAUUUUAGAGAUCCCAAGUUACUGGUCAAGUGAGUCGACCGAGAUUUUCCUGGGGUCAAAGUGCUCAGAGAUUUGAGAAAGGAAGAUGCAGCCCUCAAACUUCGUGGUGCAAGACUUGAACUCGAUUGAGCAAUACUUAGCUCAGUUGCCGAUGCCCUAGAAUCUUCCUCCGCCAUACCGAAUAGAUGAGUUACUCAAAGUUUUUUAAAAUAUAGUCAAACAUUUCUAGAUACUAUGUGAUUAUGUCGUCGGU
rnacentral:misc_RNA from 1 species